rnacentral:rRNA from 1 species
UACGUAGGGGGCUAGCGUUGUCCGGAAUCAUUGGGCGUAAAGAGCGUGUAGGCGGCCCGGUAAGUCCGCUGUGAAAGUCGGGGGCUCAACCCUCGAAUGCCGGUGGAUACUGUCGGGCUAGAGUGCGGAAGAGGCGAGUGGAAUUCCUGGUGUAGCGGUGGAAUGCGCAGAUAUCAGGAGGAACACCAAUAGCGAAGGCAGCUCGCUGGGACGUUACUGACGCUGAGGCGCGAAAGCGUGGGGAGCAAACAGG